rnacentral:misc_RNA from 1 species
GAUGAAGAACGUAGCGAAAUGCGAUAAGUAAUGUGAAUUGCAGAAUUCAGUGAAUCAUCGAAUCUUUGAACGCAUAUUGCGCCCCUUGGUUAUUCCGGGGGGCACACCUGUUCGAGCGUCAUUUCACCACUCAAGCCUGGCUUGGUAUUGGGCGCCGCGGUCGAUCCGCGCGCCUCAAAGUCUCCGGCUGAGCUGUCCGUCUCUAAGCGUUGUGAUUUCAUUAAUCGCUUCGGAGUGCGGGCGGCCGCGGCCGUUAAAUCUUUCACAAGGUUGACCUCGGAUCAGGUAGGGAUACCCGCUGAACUUAAGCAUAUCAAUAAGCGGAGGA